rnacentral:rRNA from 1 species
CUUGUANUUGGAUUCGUUCUUUUUUGCUCAGCAGAGGUGGGAGGCUACUAUAAUAAACUUGUGGGUUUAUUGGAGCUAUCAGUGAGAUACCACUCUAAUAAAGCUCUAAUUCUAACCUUGUAAGCCGUUAUCCGGCCAAGGAACAGUUUCAGGUGGGCAGUUUGACUGGGGCGGUCGCCUCCUAAAAAGUAACGGAGGCGUGCAAAGGUUCCUUCAGGCUGGUUGGAAAUCAGUCGUAGAGUGUAAAGAUAUAAGGGAGCUUGACUGUAAGACUUACAAGUCGAACAGAGACGAAAGUCGGCCUUAGUGAUCCGACAGUUCCGAGUGGAAGGGCUGUCGCUCAACGGAUAAAAGUUA